UUGGGAAUAUUUCACAAUUGGCGCAAGCCUUAUGCAGCAACGCCGCGUGAACGAUGAAGGUCUUCGGAUCGUAAAGUUCUGUUUCAGGGGAAGAUAAUGACGGUACCCUGUGAGGAAGCCCCGGCUAACUACGUGCCAGCAGCCGCGGUAAUACGUAGGGGGCUAGCGUUAUCCGGAUUUACUGGGCGUAAAGGGUGCGUAGGUGGUCUUUCAAGUCGGUGGUUAAAGGCUACGGCUCAACCGUAGUUAGCCUCCGAAACUGGAAGACUUGAGUGCAGGAGAGGAAAGUGGAAUUCCCAGUGUAGCGGUGAAAUGCGUAGAUAUUGGGAGGAACACCAGUAGCGAAGGCGGCUUUCUGGACUGCAACUGACACUGAGGCACGAAAGCGUGGGUAGCAAACAGG
rnacentral:rRNA from 1 species